rnacentral:rRNA from 1 species
GUGACGAAGCGACGCCGCGUGCGGGAGGAAGGCCUUCGGGUUGUAAACCGCUGUCGGGAGUUAAGAAAUGCAAGGAUGUUAAUAGCGUUCUUGCUUGACUAAGGCUCCGGAGGAAGCCACGGCUAACUCUGUGCCAGCAGCCGCGGUAAUACAGAGGCGGCAAGCGUUGUUCGGAAUUAUUGGGCGUAAAGAGCACGUGGGCGGCUGUGUAAGUCGGUUGUGAAAGCCUUCCGCUCAACGGAAGAACGGCAUCCGAUACUGCAUGGCUUGAGUGUGGGAGGGGAGAGUGGAACUUCUGGUGGAGCGGUGAAAUGCGUAGAUAUCAGAAGGAACACCGGCGGCGAAGGCGACUCUCUGGUCCAUAACUGACGCUGAGUGUGCGAAAGCUAGGGGAGCAAACGGGAUUAGAUACCCCGGUAGUCCUAGCCGUAAACGAU